rnacentral:tRNA from 1 species
AAAAGAGAAACGAUAAAAUCGUCUUCAAUUUCGGCUUGAAUUUAGGUAAACACCCUCUUUUA